UUACAACUCCCAAACCCCUGUGAACAUACCUAUUUGUUGCCUCGGCGGUGCCUGUUCCGACAGCCCGCCAGAGGACCCCAAACCCUGAUUACAUUUAAGAAGUCUUCUGAGUAAACCGAUUAAAUAAAUCAAAACUUUCAACAACGGAUCUCUUGGUUCUGGCAUCGAUGAAGAACGCAGCGAAAUGCGAUAAGUAAUGUGAAUUGCAGAAUUCAGUGAAUCAUCGAAUCUUUGAACGCACAUUGCGCCCGCUAGUAUUCUGGCGGGCAUGCCUGUCCGAGCGUCAUUUCAACCCUCAAGCCCCCGGGCUUGGUGUUGGGGAUCGGCGAGCCUCCGCGCCCGCCGUCCCCUAAAUCUAGUGGCGGUCUCGCUGUAGCUUCCUCUGCGUAGUAGCACACCUCGCACUGGGAAACAGCGCGGCCACGCCGUUAAACCCCCAACUUCUGAACGUUUGACCUCGGAUCAGGUAGGAAUACCCGCUGAACUUAAGCAUAUCAAUAAGCGGAGGA
rnacentral:sRNA from 1 species